CAGAAACUGGCGUAAACACAAAAAUAUUCAGAUUUAUCGAAGUGUGCGUACGCAUGGAUCCAAGCACGGUCUGUUUGUACAUCCCACUGAAUGUGGAAUUGAGUGCACAUGCACAUGUACCAAGCUCCUCCUUUUCCACCUCCCAUUUAAGUAUGCAAAUUUGUGUGAGGCGUGUAAA